rnacentral:rRNA from 1 species
GUCUACAGCCAUACCACCCUAAACACUGCCUAUAUCUCAUCUGAUCUCAGAAGAGAGAGGGUGAGACCUGAUCAGUACUUGGAUGGGAGAAACCUUAGGUCACGUAUUUGGGUUUUUGUACCCA